rnacentral:rRNA from 1 species
CCUACGGGAGGCAGCAGUGGGGAAUCUUGCGCAAUGGGCGAAAGCCUGACGCAGCAACGCCGCGUGCGGGAAGAAGGCUUUCGGGCUGUAAACCGCUUUCAGCAGGAACGAAAAUGACGGUACCUGCAGAAGAAGGAGCGGCCAACUAUGUGCCAGCAGCCGCGGUGAUACAUAGGCUUCAAGCGUUGUCCGGAUUUAUUGGGCGUAAAGAGUUCGUAGGCGGUCGAGUAAGUCGGGUGUGAAAAUUCUGGGCUCAACCCAGAGACGCCACCCGAUACUGCUUGACUUGAGUUCGAUAGGGGAGUGGGGAAUUCCUAGUGUAGCGGCGAAAUGCGCAGAUAUUAGGAGGAACACCGGUGGCGAAGGCGCCACUCUGGAUCGAUACUGACGCUGAGGAACGAAAGCAUGGGUAGCAAACAGGAUUAGAUACCCUGGUAGUCCAUGCGUAACGGUAGGGUCGACGUAGGUAGUGGGUUUACGUUAUUAACGUAAACGUACCGCGCCGUCGCUACGACAUUAAGUCGCCCGCCGUCGGGUAGGUACGGUCGCGACGACGUAGAACGUACAAACGGAAAGUUAGACGGCGUGAGACGUCGCCGAACGGACGACCGACGAGGGAGGUAGG